AUCAAUGUCAGUGUUGAAAUUAUGAAAUUAAGAGGUAUUCACAUUAUUUAAAUAUCUUUUUUAGGCAAGUUGGACAAAUGCAAAUAAAACGCAACGUGAAAAGCUACUUGAGCUGAUAAGUCGUCUUGCAGAAGACGAUAAGGAUGGUGUGAUGGCACAUAAAGUGUUGAACCUUCUUUGGAAUCUGGCCCGUAGUGAUGAUGUGCCUGUAGACAUAAUGGAUGCAGCUCUCAGUGCCCACACCAAAAUAUUAAAUUGCAGUUGUUCCCAGGAUCAAAAUACACAAAAGAUUCAGUGGAUAGACCAUUUUGUAGAAGAACUUCGAUCAAAUGACAAAUGGGUAAUUCCUGCCCUGAAACAAAUAAGAGAAAUUUGUAGUUUGUUUGGUGAAGCACCUCAAAAUGUAAGGUAAGGUGCAGAUAAUUUUAUUAUUUUGAAAAUACCCAUAUAAGCUAACUUUAAAGGGAGAA
rnacentral:lncRNA from 1 species